CCUACGGGAGGCAGCAGUGAGGAAUAUUGGUCAAUGGGCGCGAGCCUGAACCAGCCAAGUAGCGUGAAGGAUGACUGUCCUAUGGGUUGUAAACCUCUUUUAUAAAGGAAUAAAGUGAGGCACGUGUGCUUUUUUGUAUGUACUUUAUGAAUAAGGAUCGGCUAACUCCGUGCCAGCAGCCGCGGUAAUACGGAGGAUCCGAGCGUUAUCCGGAUUUAUUGGGUUUAAAGGGCGCGUAGGUGGGUUGUUAAGUCAGUUGUGAAAGUUUGCGGCUCAACCGUAAAAUUGCAAUUGAAACUGGCAGUCUUGAGUACAUUUGAGGUAGGCGGAAUUCGUGGUGUAGCGGUGAAAUGCUUAGAUAUCACGAAGAACUCCGAUUGCGAAGGCAGCUUACUAAGCUGCCACUGACGUUGAUGCACGAAAGUGUGGGUAUCAAACAGGAUUAGAUACCCUUGUAGUC
rnacentral:rRNA from 1 species